UCGCGGCCCUAUCAGCUUGUUGGUGAGGUGGUGGGUCUCCAAGCGACGACGGGUAGCCGGCCUGAGAGGGCGACCGGCCACACUGGGACUGAGACACGGCCCAGACUCCUACGGGAGGCAGCAGUGGGGAAUAUUGCACAAUGGGCGAAAGCCUGAUGCAGCGACGCCGCGUGAGGGAUGACGGCCUUCGGGUUGUAAACCUCUUUCAGCAGGGAAGAAGCGAGAGUGACGGUACCUGCAGAAGAAGCGCCGGCUAACUACGUGCCAGCAGCCGCGGUAAUACGUAGGGCGCGAGCGUUGUCCGGAAUUAUUGGGCGUAAAGAGCUCGUAGGCGGCUUGUCACGUCGGAUGUGAAAGCCCGGGGCUUAACCCCGGGUCUGCAUUCGAUACGGGCAGGCUAGAGUUCGGUAGGGGAGAUCGGAAUUCCUGGUGUAGCGGUGAAAUGCGCAGAUAUCAGGAGGAACACCGGUGGCGAAGGCGGAUCUCUGGGCCGAUACUGACGCUGAGGAGCGAAAGCGUGGGGAGCGAACAGGAUUAGAUACCCUGGUAGUCCACGCCGUAAACGUUGGGAACUAGGUGUGGGCGACAUUCCACGUCGUCCGUGCCGGGGCUAGGGCAUUAAGUUCCCCGCCUGGGGAGUACGGAC
rnacentral:rRNA from 1 species